GGGCACCUUCGGGUGUCAGUGGCAGACGGGUGAGUAACACGUGGGAACGUACCCUUCGGUUCGGAAUAACUCAGGGAAACUUGAGCUAAUACCGGAUACGCCCUUUUGGGGAAAGGUUUACUGCCGAAGGAUCGGCCCGCGUCUGAUUAGCUUGUUGGUGGGGUAACGGCCUACCAAGGCGACGAUCAGUAGCUGGUCUGAGAGGAUGAUCAGCCACACUGGGACUGAGACACGGCCCAGACUCCUACGGGAGGCAGCAGUGGGGAAUAUUGGACAAUGGGCGCAAGCCUGAUCCAGCCAUGCCGCGUGAGUGAUGAAGGCCUUAGGGUUGUAAAGCUCUUUUGUCCGGGACGAUAAUGACGGUACCGGAAGAAUAAGCCCCGGCUAACUUCGUGCCAGCAGCCGCGGUAAUACGAAGGGGGCUAGCGUUGCUCGGAAUCACUGGGCGUAAAGGGCGCGUAGGCGGCCGAUUAAGUCGGGGGUGAAAGCCUGUGGCUCAACCACAGAAUUGCCUUCGAUACUGGUUGGCUUGA
rnacentral:rRNA from 1 species